rnacentral:rRNA from 1 species
GAGAUUCCCUUAGUAGUGGCGAGCGAACGGGGAUUAGCCCUUAAGCUUCAUUGAUUUUAGCGGAACGCUCUGGAAAGUGCGGCCAUAGUGGGUGAUAGCCCCGUACGCGAAAGGAUCUUUGAAGUGAAAUCGAGUAGGACGGAGCACGAGAAACUUUGUCUGAACAUGGGGGGACCAUCCUCCAAGGCUAAAUACUACUGACUGACCGAUAGUGAACCAGUACCGUGAGGGAAAGGCGAAAAGAACCCCGGAGAGGGGAGUGAAAUAGAACCUGAAACCGUAUGCGUACAAGCAGUGGGAGCCUACUUGUUAGGUGACUGCGUACCUUUUGUAUAAUGGGUCAGCGACUUAUAUUCAGUGGCAAGCUUAACCGUAUAGGGUAGGCGUAGCGAAAGCGAGUCUUAAUAGGGCGUUUAGUCGCUGGGUAUAGACCCGAAACCGGGCGAUCUAUCCAUGAGCAGGUUGAAGGUUAGGUAACACUGACUGGAGGACCGAACCCACUCCCGUUGAAAAGGUAGGGGAUGACUUGUGGAUCGGAGUGAAAGGCUAAUCAAGCUCGGAGAUAGCUGGUUCUCCUCGAAAGCUAUUUAGGUAGCGCCUCAUGUAUCACUCUGGGGGGUAGAGCACUGUUUCGGCUAGGGGGUCAUCCCGACUUACCAAACCGAUGCAAACUCCGAAUACCCAGAAGUGCCGAGCAUGGGAGACACACGGCGGGUGCUAACGUCCGUCGUGAAAAGGGAAACAACCCAGACCGCCAGCUAAGGUCCCAAAGUUGUGGUUAAGUGGUAAACGAUGUGGGAAGGCUUAGACAGCUAGGAGGUUGGCUUAGAAGCAGCCAUCCUUUAAAGAAAGCGUAAUAGCUCACUAGUCGAGUCGGCCUGCGCGGAAGAUGUAACGGGGCUCAAACCACACACCGAAGCUGCGGGUGUCACGUAAGUGACGCGGUAGAGGAGCGUUCUGUAAGCCUGUGAAGGUGAGUUGAGAAGCUUGCUGGAGGUAUCAGAAGUGCGAAUGCUGACAUGAGUAACGACAAUGGGUGUGAAAAACACCCACGCCGAAAGACCAAGGGUUCCUGCGCAACGUUAAUCGACGCAGGGUUAGUCGGUUCCUAAGGCGAGGCUGAAAAGCGUAGUCGAUGGGAAACAGGUUAAUAUUCCUGUACUUCUGGUUACUGCGAUGGAGGGACGGAGAAGGCUAGGCCAGCUUGGCGUUGGUUGUCCAAGUUUAAGGUGGUAGGCUGAAAUCUUAGGUAAAUCCGGGGUUUCAAGGCCGAGAGCUGAUGACGAGUCGUCUUUUAGAUGACGAAGUGGUUGAUGCCAUGCUUCCAAGAAAAGCUUCUAAGCUUCAGGUAACCAGGAACCGUACCCCAAACCGACACAGGUGGUCGGGUAGAGAAUACCAAGGCGCUUGAGAGAACUCGGGUGAAGGAACUAGGCAAAAUGGCACCGUAACUUCGGGAGAAGGUGCGCCGGCUAGGGUGAAGGAUUUACUCCGUAAGCUCUGGCUGGUCGAAGAUACCAGGCCGCUGCGACUGUUUAUUAAAAACACAGCACUCUGCAAACACGAAAGUGGACGUAUAGGGUGUGACGCCUGCCCGGUGCCGGAAGGUUAAUUGAUGGGGUUAGCGCAAGCGAAGCUCUUGAUCGAAGCCCCGGUAAACGGCGGCCGUAACUAUAACGGUCCUAAGGUAGCGAAAUUCCUUGUCGGGUAAGUUCCGACCUGCACGAAUGGCGUAACGAUGGCGGCGCUGUCUCCACCCGAGACUCAGUGAAAUUGAAAUCGCUGUGAAGAUGCAGUGUAUCCGCGGCUAGACGGAAAGACCCCGUGAACCUUUACUGUAGCUUUGCACUGGACUUUGAGCCUGCUUGUGUAGGAUAGGUGGGAGGCUUUGAAGCGUGGACGCCAGUUCGCGUGGAGCCAUCCUUGAAAUACCACCCUGGCAUGCUUGAGGUUCUAACUCUGGUCCGUGAUCCGGAUCGAGGACAGUGUAUGGUGGGCAGUUUGACUGGGGCGGUCUCCUCCUAAAGAGUAACGGAGGAGUACGAAGGUGCGCUCAGACCGGUCGGA